GCCAAGAGACUGCUGAUGCUUUGCUGAUUGGGGAUUGCUCUGCUUUUGCUUUCUAGUAGUAGUGGUCUUAGUAGUCUUUGUAGUAGUCUUAGUAGUCUUUGUAGUAGUCUUAGUAGUCUUAGUAGUAGUCUUAGUAGUAGUCUUAGUCUUAGUAGUAGUCUUAGUCUUAGUAGUAGUCUUAGUCUUAGUAGUUUUAGUCUUAGUAGUUUUAGUCUAGUAGUAGUCUUAGUCUUAGUAGUAGUCUUAGUCUUAGUAGUAGUCUUAGUCUUAGUCUUAGUCUUAGUCUUAGUCUUAGUAGUUGUCUUAGCAGUAGUCCUAGUCUUAGUAGUCUUAGUCUUAGUAGUAGUAGUCUUAGUCUUAGUCUUCUUAGUUUUAGUCUUAGUAGUUUUAGUCUUAGUAGUAGUCUUAGUCUUAGUAGUCUUAGUCUUAGUAGUCUUAGUCUUAGUAGUCUUAGUCUUAGUAGUUGUCUUAGCAGUAGUCUUAGUCUUAGUAGUAGUAGUCUUAGUAGUAGUAGUCUUAGUAGUCUUAGUAGUAGUCUUAGUCUUAGUAGUAGUCUUAGUCUUAGUAGUAGUAGUCUUAGUAGUAGUAGUCUUAGUAGUCUUAGUAGUCUUAGUAGUAGUCUUAGUCUUAGUAGUAGUCUUAGUCUUAGUAGUAGUCUUAGUCUUAGUAGUAGUCUUAGUCUUAGUAGUUUUAGUCUUAGUAGUCUUAGUCUUAGUAGUAGUCUUAGUCUUAGUAGUAGUCUUAGUCUUAGUCUUAGUCUUAGUCUUAGUAGUUGUCUUAGCAGUAGUCCUAGUCUUAGUAGUCUUAGUCUUAGUAGUAGUAGUCUUAGUCUUAGUCUUCUUAGUUUUAGUCUUAGUAGUUUUAGUCUUAGUAGUAGUCUUAGUCUUAGUAGUCUUAGUCUUAGUAGUCUUAGUCUUAGUAGUCUUAGUCUUAGUAGUUGUCUUAGCAGUAGUCUUAGUCUUAGUAGUAGUAGUCUUAGUAGUAGUAGUCUUAGUAGUCUUAGUAGUAGUCUUAGUCUUAGUAGUAGUCUUAGUCUUAGUAGUAGUAGUCUUAGUAGUAGUAGUCUUAGUAGUCUUAGUAGUCUUAGUAGUAGUCUUAGUCUUAGUAGUAGUCUUAGCAGUAGUCUUAGU
rnacentral:lncRNA from 1 species